rnacentral:rRNA from 1 species
CGUAGUUAGCCGACACUUUUCCUGCGCUACCGUCACUAUCGUCACGCAGAAAAGGGCUUUACGAUUCGAAAACCUUCAUCACCCACGCGGCGUCGCUGCGUCAGGCUUUCGCCCAUUGCGCAAUAUCCCUCAC